rnacentral:rRNA from 1 species
CCAGACUCCUACGGGAGGCAGCAGUGGGGAAUCUUCCGCAAUGGGCGCAAGCCUGACGGAGCAAUGCCGCGUGAACGAAGAAGGUCUUCGGAUUGUAAAGUUCUGUCCUUAUCGAAGAGAGGGUAUAGAGUGAAAAAUGAUAUACUAGGACGGUAGAUGAGGGGGAAGCCCCGGCUAACUACGUGCCAGCAGCCGCGGUAAUACGUAGGGGGCGAGCGUUAUCCGGAUUUACUGGGUGUAAAGGGAGCGUAGACGGUUACGCAAGUCUGGAGUGAAAUGCCGGGGCUUAACCCCGGAACUGCUUUGGAAACUGUGCAGCUAGAGUGCAGGAGAGGUAAGUGGAAUUCCUAGUGUAGCGGUGAAAUGCGUAGAUAUUAGGAGGAACACCAGUGGCGAAGGCGGCUUACUGGACUGUAACUGACGUUGAGGCUCGAAAGCGUGGGGAGCAAACAGGAUUAGAUACCCCCGUAA